rnacentral:rRNA from 1 species
CCUACGGGAGGCAGCAGUGAGGAAUAUUGGUCAAUGGACGAGAGUCUGAACCAGCCAAGUAGCGUGAAGGAUGACUGCCCUAUGGGUUGUAAACUUCUUUUAUAAAGGAAUAAAACGAGGCACGUGUGCCUUUUUGCAUGUACUUUAUGCAUAAGGAUCGGCUAACUCCGUGCCAGCAGCCGCGGUAAUACGGAGGAUCCGAGCGUUAUCCGGAUUUAUUGGGUUUAAAGGGAGCGUAGAUGGGUUGUUAAGUCAGUUGUGAAAGUUUGCGGCUCAACCGUAAAAUUGCAAUUGAUACUGGCAGUCUUGAGUACAGUUGAGGUAAGCGGAAUUCGUGGUGUAGCGGUGAAAUGCGUAGAUAUCACGAAGAACCCCGAUUGCGAAGGCAGCUUACUAAACUGUGACUGACAUUGAUGCGCGAAAGUGUGGGUAGCAAACAGGAUUAGAUACCCGAGUAGUC